rnacentral:rRNA from 1 species
GACGAACGCUGGCGGCGUGCCUAAUACAUGCAAGUAGAACGCUGAAGAGAGGAGCUUGCUCUUCUUGGAUGAGUUGCGAGCGGGUGAGUAACGCGUGGGUAACCUGCCUUGUAGCGGGGGAUAACUAUUGGAAACGAUAGCUAAUACCGCAUAACAAUGGAUGACACAUGUCAUUUAUUUGAAAGGGGCAAUUGCUCCACUACAAGAUGGACCUGCGUUGUAUUAGCUAGUAGGUGAGGUAACGGCUCACCUAGGCGACGAUACAUAGCCGACCUGAGAGGGUGAUCGGCCACACUGGGACUGAGACACGGCCCAGACUCCUACGGGAGGUAGCAGUAGGGAAUCUUCGGCAAUGGGGGCAACCCUGACCGAGCAACGCCGCGUGAGUGAAGAAGGUUUUCGGAUCGUAAAGCUCUGUUGUAAGUCAAGAACGAGUGUGAGAGUGGAAAGUUCACACUGUGACGGUAGCUUACCAGAAAGGGACGGCUAACUACGUGCCAGCAGCCGCGGUAAUACGUAGGUCCCGAGCGUUGUCCGGAUUUAUUGGGCGUAAAGCGAGCGCAGGCGGUUUGAUAAGUCUGAAGUUAAAGGCUGUGGCUCAACCAUAGUUCGCUUUGGAAGCUGUCAAACUUGAGUGCAGAAGGGGAGAGUGGAAUUCCAUGUGUAGCGGUGAAAUGCGUAGAUAUAUGGAGGAACACCGGUGGCGAAAGCGGCUCUCUGGUCUGUAACUGACGCUGAGGCUCGAAAGCGUGGGGAGCGAACAGGAUUAGAUACCCUGGUAGUCCACGCCGUAAACGAUGAGUGCUAGGUGUUGGAUCCUUUCCGGGAUUCAGUGCCGCAGCUAACGCAUUAAGCACUCCGCCUGGGGAGUACGACCGCAAGGUUGAAACUCAAAGGAAUUGACGGGGGCCCGCACAAGCGGUGGAGCAUGUGGUUUAAUUCGAAGCAACGCGAAGAACCUUACCAGGCCUUGACAUCCCGAUGCUAUUUCUAGAGAUAGAAAGUUACUUCGGUACAUCGGUGACAGGUGGUGCAUGGUUGUCGUCAGCUCGUGUCGUGAGAUGUUGGGUUAAGUCCCGCAACGAGCGCAACCCCUAUUGUUAGUUGCCAUCAUUCAGUUGGGCACUCUAGCGAGACUGCCGGUAAUAAACCGGAGGAAGGUGGGGAUGACGUCAAAUCAUCAUGCCCCUUGUGACCUGGGCUACACACGUGCUACAAUGGUUGGUACAACGAGUUGCGAGUCGGUGACGGCAAGCUAAUCUCUUAAAGCCAAUCUCAGUUCGGAUUGUAGGCUGCAACUCGCCUACAUGAAGUCGGAAUCGCUAGUAAUCGCGGAUCAGCACGCCGCGGUGAAUACGUUCCCGGGCCU